rnacentral:rRNA from 1 species
CCUAGCGGCAGGCUUAACACAUGCAAGUCAGGGGUAACAUAGAAAAGCUUGCUUUUCUGAUGACGACCGGCGCACGGGUGCGUAACGCGUAUACAACCUACCUUUUAGCGGGGAAUAGCCCAGGGAAACUUGGAUUAAUGCCCCAUAGUAUAUAGACUUCUCCUGAAGUUUAUAUUAAACAUUUAUGGCUAUUAGAUGGGUAUGCGUCCUAUUAGUUAGUUGGUAAGGUAACGGCUUACCAAGGCAGCGAUAGGUAGGGGUCCUGAGAGGGAGAUCCCCACACUGGUACUGAGACACGGACCAGACUCCUACGGGAGGCAGCAGUGAGGAAUAUUGGACAAUGGGCGAGAGCCUGAUCCAGCCAUGCCGCGUGCAGGAAGACUGCCCUAUGGGUUGUAAACUGCUUUUACAGAGGAAGAACCACCCCCACGUGUGGGGGUUUGACGGUACUCUGCGAAUAAGGAUCGGCUAACUCCGUG